GCCCCCGUGAGAAUGCCCUAUAUGUCCCACCAAGGAAAGUAGGAGCUGGCAUCAGGCACGCAACUGCAGCCCAAGACGCCUUGUUUAGCCACGCCCCCAAGGGUAUUCAGCAGUGAUCAACCUUAAGCCAUGAGUGAAAACUUGACUUAGUUAAAGUUUACCAGGGCCGGUAAACCUCGUGCCAGCUACCGCGGUUAGACGAGAGGCCCAAGUUGGAUAGCCCAACGGCGUAAAGCGUGGUUAAGGAAACAUAAUACAACUAGGGCUGAACGUCUCCCAAGCAGUUUAAAGCUUAUGGAGAUAUGAAACCCACCAACGAAAGUGGCCCUAACUAACCCUGACCCCACGAAAGCUACAAAACAAACUGGGAUUAGAUACCCCACUAUGUGUAGUCGUAAACUUUGAUGGCAUGAUACACACAGCCAUUCGCCUGGUUAUUACGAGCAGCAGCUUAAAACCCAAAGGACUUGGCGGUGCUUUAGACCCAUCUAGAGGAGCCUGUUCUAGAACUGAUAAUCCCCGUUAAACCUCACCGCCCCUUGUUAAAUUCAGCUUAUAUACCACCGUCGUCAGCUUACCCUGUGAAGGUCGAACAGUGAGCAAAAUCAAUCAACUUCAAAACGCCAGGUCGAGGUGUAGCUAAUGAGGCGGGAAGAAAUGGGCUACAUUCUCUCAUUGAGAGUAUACGAACGGUGUCAAUUGAAACAUUCACUCUGAAGGUGGAUUUAGUAGUAAGUGGGAAAUAGAGUGUCCCCCUGAAACUGGCUCUGAGGCGCGCACAUACCGCCCGUCAUUCUCUCCGAAUUAACCCUAAAAUACUUAACUAAGAAAUCAGAUUAAAUAAAGGGGAGGUAAGUCGUAACAUGGUAAGUGUACCGGAAGGUGUACUUGGCUCAACAU
rnacentral:ncRNA from 1 species